rnacentral:rRNA from 1 species
AUGAACGCUAGCGGCAGGCCUAACACAUGCAAGUCGAGGGGUAGAAGGAGCUUGCUCCUUUGAGACCGGCGCCCGGGUGCGUAACGCGUAUGCAAUCUACCUUGUACAGGGGAAUAGCCCAGAGAAAUUUGGAUUAAUGCCCCAUAGUAUAUAACCUUCGCAUGUUGGUUAUAUUAAAGUUCCAACGGUACAAGAUGAGCAUGCGUCCCAUUAGUUAGUUGGUAAGGUAACGGCUUACCAAGACGAUGAUGGGCAGGGGUCCUGAGAGGGAGAUCCCCCACACUGGUACUGAGACACGGACCAGACUCCUACGGGAGGCAGCAGUGAGGAAUAUUGGUCAAUGGUCGCAAGACUGAACCAGCCAUGCCGCGUGCAGGAAGACGGUCCUAUGGAUUGUAAACUGCUUUUAUACAGGAAGAAACCCUCCCACGUGUGGGAGCUUGACGGUACUGUAGGAAUAAGGAUCGGCUAACUCCGUG